rnacentral:lncRNA from 1 species
UAAAGAUCUUCAUCUUGAUUGUCUCAUCUUGAAGAAUGUAACAAUCGCAAUGUCUUGUCCUGUAUCAAAGUAGAAAGAAUUUACCUCAAGAAAGUACUAGACUCCUGGUUAUCACUAAUUAUUCAAUUAAGCUUCAAAAUAAGAGAAGCCCUAAGUUUAUAUAUAAAAAUUUCUUUUUUGGAGCAAUUACACCAAAUACAUAAGCCUCAAGUAACCAACAACACCCUAAAUAUGAUAAAAUCCUCUAAAACCUUGUAUAUCCUUAUGUGGAAAUUUUUUUGAACUUCAAUACCUUAUAUCUCUUGAUCUAAUUAUCCAAAAUUAUUCAAAUUAUACAUGAAGUAUUCAUAAAUUUAUAUCAAUUUCCACAACAAAUUUCAACUACAAAUUCAUUGCAGAUUUUAAGAUAUCACCAAAACCCUAACAGUAGCUUUUAAUCCUAGUUUUUAUACACCUGCAUGCAAUUUUCUUCAUAUUUCAUAAAUUAAACACCCAAAUGCCACAAAGCUUGUAUGUAUGGUUUUUUAAUAUAAUUAUGUACCUUUUUCAAAAGAUUUG